AUAAAAUAUAUACAUAUAUGUAUUUAUUAUAAAUACUUUAUAGUAUUUUGUGGAAGCAAUGCUAGUUGUUUUAUAAAAAAAAAACUCUAUUUGGAGACGGAAGAAAAUGCUUAGGUCAUACAAAUGUUCUAAUAUCACAGUGCUUUAUGAACCUAAACUAUUAGUAUUGCUAUUUUUGUGCCCCCAGCUGUACGUGCAUAUGUAGAAGCCCGAGUGUGGUGCUCUUGUUUUUCCCGGGCUUCAUACCUGAGCAAUUAGUGCGACGUUUUCGAUUGCGCAUGCAGUAGCCCAACGAGCAGCAGCUGCUGUUUUCGUGUUUUUUCUGGGUUUUUGCUCUCGGGCAGCUGACAAGGAGCCAAAAGCGGCGACAGAGGGGCGUAAACAAAGUGAGCUCUUGCAAAAUGACAGCUGACAAUGAAUCGUACGCCACGUUGAGCUCCUCGCACAGAGAAGUCUGCAGCUAAGUGCACAAUAAUAAUGGCAACAAUAUCAAGUAGGAGUGAAAAAGCUGCAGUCAGCGUCGCCAGUCUGCCGUUGGGAUUUCAUAAAGUUAUUGAACGUUUUCAAGCGAAAAACAAAAUUCGGAUUGCAACCAGAAAAAUGAAAAAGCGAUAAAGUGCCAAGCGAAGCAAAGAGCUAAGUGCCGAUUUGGGCAUAUCACGAAGUUUGACAGCCACUGCAGAUAACCUGUUGCUGUUGCAACUAGAACAACAACAACUGCGGCACUUGCCACAUAAAUGGCCAUUCGUGCUGGAAGAAGCCUCCGCUGGACGCGACCAAGAAGCUAAUUGUAUGGGCAGGCCACCCAGCCCCACCCACUCACCCACCUCGGCAUAGUGGAAUGAUGGCAGGACGGGCGAUCGGGGAGGAGCAAAACAGCGGAGGCGACAAAGCAAACAAGGUGUUAAUUUCCACUGGUUCGGCAUUCCCUCGAGUUCUUUUCACUGAGAUGCUCUGAAAAAGGGUGUACGCAGGGUAUGACGAUUUCAGGCGGAUCUUGAUACCAUCAGGAUCAUAUUUGAGUAUUGAAUGCAGUCAGUUUGAUGUAUUUCGUAUUUGGAAAUGCUAACUAGUAGCUUGUAGCUUUAAUUACAUCGUAAAGUCCAGCGCUAGCCAGUAAAAUAUAAAUUCGUAGAACACAAUAAAUAUAAUUAUUCCUCUUCA